rnacentral:rRNA from 1 species
CCCCUAGAUGUUCUGGGCCGCACGCGCGCUACACUGAACAGUUCAACAAGUCUUAACCUCGGCCGAUAGGUCUGGGUAAUCUUUGAACGCUGUUCGUGAUUGGGAUAGACCUUUGCAAUUAUGGGUCUUCAACGAGGAAUUCCUAGUAAACGCAAGUCAUCAGCUUGCAUUGAUUACGUCCCUGCCCUUUGUACACACCGCCCGUCGCACCUACCGAUUGAAUGGUCCGGUGAAAUCUCGGGACGGCGGCUUGGUCGCUUGCGUCCGACUGCUGAAACUUGAUUAAACCAUAUCAUUUAGAGGAAGGUGAANUCGUAACA